UUUCAUCUGUCAAAAAUACGAUUCUUAAAUUUUUUCAGCUAGUUAAAAAUGCGAAAAUCAUUUUUAUUUUACAGAUUGUACAAAAACAAGUAGGAAGCCAGAUUUAGCUCUUUAUGGAAAAUAUUUGCCAACCAGUCCCUGCUUUGUGAUAAUGGUUUCGAGGGAUGGUCCAUAGACUUCUGGGUGGUUCCUGAGACCCUUACAUUUAUUUUUUUCUUAUUUUAAUUUUUAUUUUUGAAUUAUAGUUACCAUUCAAUAUUACAUUAGUUUCAGGUGUACAACAUUAGGUGGUUAUACAUUUAUAUAAAUAAUGAAGUGAUUCCCCAGGUUAGUCUUGGCACCCACCUGGAGUAGUUAGUUAUGACAGCAUUAUUGACUGUAUUCCCUGAACUGUACUUUAUAUCUCUGUAACUCUUUUGUAACUGCCAAUUUGUACAUAUUAAUCCCUUCACCCUUUUUCACCCAGCCUCUCAACCCUUCCUCCAUCUGACAGUCAUCAGUUUGUUCUCGGUACCUAAGAGUUUGUUUCUGUUUGUUUUUUUAUUUUGUUUUAGAUUCACAUAAAAGUGAAGUCAUACGAUAAUUUGUCUUUCUCUGUCUUCCUUAUUUCACUUAGCAUAAUGCCUUCCAGUGGAUACUGAUGAUGAUUUUGAUCAUGUCAGAAUGAUGUAUCCUUAGAAUCGCAAGCCUCGCUAUUUAUAAUAUAUCCAGUGACAUAUGUGUCAGUUGUUUUUUUAGGUGGUUAUGCUUAUAUAAACUGUUUCAUCCUUUAAAAACAAAUAUAGAAGCAACUGAGGAUUGAUUCUCUUAUUUUCACUAGUUAUUUUCCCCCCAUUUUGUUUUUCCUUCCACAUUAUUGCAACACAGAAAUGACAAACCUACCGUAACUAGAACUGAUAUUAUUUAGUUUGAAAAUCUUAAAGAUGGUAUCCCUUUGAACUUGACUUUCUUGAAACAUAUUUUUACAUGGACUGUUAAUUACGGUAAAGGUAGGAAGUCAGUGACAGUUGUACAGUUUAUCAGCCAUAGUCUGAAAUAAUAAAAUAAACCUUGCAAGGAUCACCUGUGUCCCUCUGAAAGGCUAUGCCCCCCAGAAAUACAUUGAAGCUUUAUUGAAAUAAAAACCUUUGGUUUUCAUGUUCAUUCUACAUUUAUUGACGUUUUCCAAACAUGUUUCUACUCAUUUUGAUACCCAGUGAUAUGGAAGUGAAAAAAUCCAAUAUUAAAAGGAUAAGCUGAGAGAGUGUAAGAAGGGGCUUGAAAGGAAUGUGAGGUAUAAAUUUGGUCAGCAUUGAAUGAAUUAAUCAUAAUUACAAGUAGGAAAGGUGUUCAUGAAAAUUCAAAAUUUUUGAGUGUCUUGUUCAGCUUUUUGACAACUUUUUUUCUUCCUGUGAGUCAGCAUUUUUCCGUCGUUUGGACAAUGGAAUUGAGCCUUAAAAGUAUUUCUCUAAAAGUAUUCUGAUAGUAACAUCUGCAAAUGAAAUGAGAGGAGGUAGAAAGGUCCUUCAUUUGCUGUUUUUUAUUUUUAGAAAAUAGUCUUUUUCUUUCCAAUCUCUUGUUAGGUGCAUUGUUUAUUACCUAUAUGUCCUUUUCUCAUUCACUGUUACUUGGAUUACAUUUAUUGUGAUGCAGGUAUUAAGAGAUUUAUGACAUUUCCUUUGAAGUCUGGGUAUCAUUGUUUAGCAAGCAUUUAUUCAGAAAACUUUUGCUCACUGUACAUGUACACUUAACAUUUUAUAUAUGUUACAGAUAUUUAAAACAGAUAUUUUAACAGUAACAAUUUAUAAUAGUCAUGUGUAUAUUUUUUGUUUUAGCCAU